rnacentral:tRNA from 1 species
GGAAAUGUGCCCGAAAGUUAAGGACCUCCUUGAUAGGGAGAACUAUAUGGGCUCAAACCCCAUCAUUUCCU